rnacentral:rRNA from 1 species
UACAGAGGGGCAAGCGUUAUUCGGAAUUAUUGGGCGUAAAGGGCGCGUAGGCGGCUUGGCAAGUGGAUGGUGAAAUCCCUCGGCUUAACCGAGGAACUGCCGUCCAAACUGCUUCGCUUGAGACCGGGAGAGGUGAGUGGAAUUCCCAGUGUAGCGGUGAAAUGCGUAGAUAUUGGGAGGAACACCAGUGGCGAAGGCGGCUCACUGGACCGGUACUGACGCUGAGGCGCGAAAGCGUGGGAGCAACGG